UGGCUCACUGCAGCCUUGACCUCUGGGGCUCAAGUGAUCCCCCCACCUCAGCCUCCUGACUGAGAUUACAGGCAUGCACCACCACGCCUGGCUAAUUUUUGUAUUUUUAGCAGAGACAGGGUUUCACUAUGUUUGCCAGGCUGGUCUCGAACUCCUGACUUUGUGAUCCGCCUGCCUCAGCCUCCCAAAGUGAUGGGAUUACAGGUGUGAGCCACUGCGCUGGGCCUCCAACAGCAUACUUUCAUCUUCACUGUUUUUUUGUUUUUGUUCUUUAAGAUGGAGUGUCACUCUGUCCCCCAGGCUGGAGUGCAGUAGCGUAGUCUCAGCUUACUGCAACCUCUGCCUCCCGGAUCCAAGAAAUUCUCCUGCCUCAGCCUCCUGAGUAGCUGGGACAACAGGCAUGCACCACCAUGCCUGGCUAAUUUUUGUAUUUUUAGUAGAGACGGGUUUCACCAUGUUGGCCAGGCUGGUCUCAAACUCCUGACCUCAAGUGAUCUACCCACCUCAGCCUCCCAAAGUGCUGGGAUUACAGGCAUGAGCCACCGCACACAGCCUUCUUCACUGUUUUUUUAGCAACAGUCCUCCUUAAAUUGGCCAGGACUAAAAUUCUGUAAGAUUCCAAUUUGGGUUACAUCCUAGUUUCUACCAGGGGAAAAAUGUGAUAUUAGUAAUAAUGAGAUGCACAUUAGGGCCAGGUGAGUUGGCUCACACCUGUAAUAUUCCAGCACUUUGGGA
ensembl:lncRNA novel transcript, sense intronic to C17orf78